rnacentral:rRNA from 1 species
AGACCCGAAACCCGGUGAUCUAGCCAUGGGCAGGUUGAAGGUUGGGUAACACUAACUGGAGGACCGAACCGACUAAUGUUGAAAAAUUAGCGGAUGACUUGUGGCUGGGGGUGAAAGGCCAAUCAAACCGGGAGAUAGCUGGUUCUCCCCGAAAGCUAUUUAGGUAGCGCCUCGUGAAUUCAUCUCCGGGGGUAGAGCACUGUUUCGGCAAGGGGGUCAUCCCGACUUACCAACCCGAUGCAAACUGCGAAUACCGGAGAAUGUUAUCACGGGAGACACACGGCGGGUGCUAACGUCCGUCGUGAAGAGGGAAACAACCCAGACCGCCAGCUAAGGUCCCAAAGUCAUGGUUAAGUGGGAAACGAUGUGGGAAGGCCCAGACAGCCAGGAUGUUGGCUUAGAAGCAGCCAUCAUUUAAAGAAAGCGUAAUAGCUCACUGGUCGAGUCGGCCUGCGCGGAAGAUGUAACGGGGCUAAACCAUGCACCGAAGCUGCGGCAGCGACACUGUGUGUUGUUGGGUAGGGGAGCGUUCUGUAAGCCUGUGAAGGUGUGCUGUGAGGCAUGCUGGAGGUAUCAGAAGUGCGAAUGCUGACAUAAGUAACGAUAAAGCGGGUGAAAAGCCCGCUCGCCGGAAGACCAAGGGUUCCUGUCCAACGUUAAUCGGGGCAGGGUGAGUCGACCCCUAAGGCGAGGCCGAAAGGCGUAGUCGAUGGGAAACAGGUUAAUAUUCCUGUACUUGGUGUUACUGCGAAGGGGGGACGGAGAAGGCUAUGUUGGCCGGGCGACGGUUGUCCCGGUUUAAGCGUGUAGGCUGGUUUUCCAGGCAAAUCCGGAAAAUCAAGGCUGAGGCGUGAUGACGAGGCACUACGGUGCUGAAGCAACAAAUGCCCUGCUUCCAGGAAAAGCCUCUAAGCAUCAGGUAACAUCAAAUCGUACCCCAAACCGACACAGGUGGUCAGGUAGAGAAUACCAAGGCGCUUGAGAGAACUCGGGUGAAGGAACUAGGCAAAAUGGUGCCGUAACUUCGGGAGAAGGCACGCUGAUAUGUAGGUGAAGUCCCUCGCGGAUGGAGCUGAAAUCAGUCGAAGAUACCAGCUGGCUGCAACUGUUUAUUAAAAACACAGCACUGUGCAAACACGAAAGUGGACGUAUACGGUGUGACGCCUGCCCGGUGCCGGAAGGUUAAUUGAUGGGGUCAGCGCAAGCGAAGCUCUUGAUCGAAGCCCCGGUAAACGGCGGCCGUAACUAUAACGGUCCUAAGGUAGCGAAAUUCCUUGUCGGGUAAGUUCCGACCUGCACGAAUGGCGUAAUGAUGGCCAGGCUGUCUCCACCCGAGACUCAGUGAAAUUGAACUCGCUGUGAAGAUGCAGUGUACCCGCGGCAAGACGGAAAGACCCCGUGAACCUUUACUAUAGCUUGACACUGAACAUUGAGCCUUGAUGUGUAGGAUAGGUGGGAGGCUUUGAAGUGUGGACGCCAGUCUGCAUGGAGCCGACCUUGAAAUACCACCCUUUAAUGUUUGAUGUUCUAACGUGGACCCGUGAUCCGGGUUGCGGACAGUGUCUGGUGGGUAGUUUGACUGGGGCGGUCUCCUCCUAAAGAGUAACGGAGGAGCACGAAGGUUGGCUAAUCCUGGUCGGACAUCAGGAGGUUAGUGCAAUGGCAUAAGCCAGCUUGACUGCGAGCGUGACGGCGCGAGCAGGUGCGAAAGCAGGUCAUAGUGAUCCGGUGGUUCUGAAUGGAAGGGCCAUCGCUCAACGGAUAAAAGGUACUCCGGGGAUAACAGGCUGAUACCGCCCAAGAGUUCAUAUCGACGGCGGUGUUUGGCACCUCGAUGUCGGCUCAUCACAUCCUGGGGCUGAAGUAGGUCCCAAGGGUAUGGCUGUUCGCCAUUUAAAGUGGUACGCGAGCUGGGUUUAGAACGUCGUGAGACAGUUCGGUCCCUAUCUGCCGUGGGCGCUGGAGAACUGAGGGGGGCUGCUCCUAGUACGAGAGGACCGGAGUGGACGCAUCACUGGUGUUCGGGUUGUCAUGCCAAUGGCACUGCCCGGUAGCUAAAUGCGGAAGAGAUAAGUGCUGAAAGCAUCUAAGCACGAAACUUGCCCCGAGAUGAGUUCUCCCUGACCCUUUAAGGGUCCUGAAGGAACGUUGAAGACGACGACGUUGAUAGGCCGGGUGUGUAAGCGCAGCGAUGCGUUGAGCUAACCGGUACUAAUGAACCGUGAG